rnacentral:rRNA from 1 species
CUAUGCGCCUUGCCAGCCGCUCAGGUGUGCCAGCCGCCGCGGUAAUACGGAGGAUGCGAGCGUUAUCCGGAUUUAUUGGGUUUAAAGGGUGCGUAGGCGGUCCGUUAAGUCAGCGGUAAAAUUGCGGGGCUCAACCCCGUCGAGCCGUUGAAACUGGCAGACUUGAGUUGGCGAGAAGUACGCGGAAUGCGCGGUGUAGCGGUGAAAUGCAUAGAUAUCGCGCAGAACUCCGAUUGCGAAGGCAGCGUACCGGCGCCCGACUGACGCUGAGGCACGAAAGCGUGGGGAUCGAACAGG